AUGCUCAAGUUCCUGUCCAGGGUGGUGGUGGAGUACCGCCCUCUGGACCCGCGCAAGGCAGCGGCCGUGGAGCUCCUCGUGCAGUGCAACGGCCGCAAGGCCAAGGACUCCAACCCCACCUGCUCCGUCGAGUUGCGGCGCCUGCCCUCCCCGGCCGCGGCCGAGGACCCCAAGGCCCAGCCGCCCUCGCGCGUCCUCGUCACCUACCUCAACGGCUCCGAGAAGGCCUUCCGUCGCCGCCGACGGCGCCACUGCGCAGGGCAUGCGCGACCAGAUCCUCGCCCGCGGCCGCCUCCUCGAGACCGAGCAGCUCUUCCGCGAGGCCGGGGAGAAGUGGCCCGUCAUCAUCCCCGAGGAGGAGCUCGGCAUGUCAUUCCCCGGUAUCAAGAAAAUACACCGAUGGCAAUAUCAGUGGAUUUCUCGUGGACCAGGGAGAAAAAGGGUAGCAUGAUCUUGCCAGCAUGCUCACUUCGGGAGACAGAUGCAAGUGAGGAAGAUAUGAGGGCUGCACGUCCUGUUUUUCUAUUUCCUCCCAACUUUAGUCACACAUGUGUUUUUUCUAAGGAGUUCACUACACCAUGA
rnacentral:rRNA from 1 species